UCAAAUUUGAAAGCUGGUACCUUCGGUAUCCGCGUUGUAACCUCGAGACACGUUUUCCGUGCGGCGCUAUGGACAAGUUCCUUGGAACAGGACAUCGUAGAGGGUGAAAAUCCCGUACUUGCCAUGGAUGUACCGUGCUUUGCGAUACGUGCUCUAAGAGUCGAGUUGUUUGGGAUUGCAGCUCAAAAUGGGUGGUAGACUCCAUCUAAAGCUAAAUAUCGGGGAGAGACCGAUAGCGAACAAGUACCGUGAGGGAAAGAUGAAAAGCACUUUGGAAAGAGAGUUAAAAGUACGUGAAAUUGUCGAAAGGGAAGCGCUUGAAGUCAGCCAUGCCGCUCAGGACUCAGCCUGGCUUUUGCUUGGUGUAUUUCCUGGGUAGCAAGUCAGCAUUGGUUUGGAUCGUCGGAGAAGCAUAGUCGGAAUGUGGCGCCCUCGGGCGUGUUAUAGCCUUCUAUUGGAUACGACGAUCUAGACCAAGGAACGCAGCGCGCCUUAUGGCGGGUCUUU
rnacentral:rRNA from 1 species